AUGCAGCUCAGUAACCAUGGUAUAGAAGCCACCAUGAUGGACGGCAUGAUGUCCGCGUCGAGGGAGUUUUUCUGGCGGCCACUCGAAGACAAGCAGAGGUACACCAACUUGAUCGGCGGUGAGCAGUUCCAGUUUGAGGGGUACAGAAACGACCGGGUAAGGUCGCCAGACCAGAUCCUGGAUUGGUCUGACCGCCUCUACCUCAAAGUGGGGCCCGAGGAUGAGCGGCACAUCACCCUCUGGCCAACACAUCCCCAAAACUUCAGGGAUGUUCUGCAUGUGUUCACGAAGAAAUGUGGGAGAGUGAAGGAUGACCUGCUCCAGGCAAUGGCAAAGCUGCUGGAUCUUGACAACAACGACUACUUUGUGGACCAGCUUGGGGAGAAAGCUGAAACUAACGUGAGAUGCAGCUACUACCCCCAGUUUCCAAGGCCAGAGCUUGUAUGUGGUCUCAAGCCUCACUGCGAUGGAACCGUUCUUACAAUUCUCAUGGUCGAUGACAGCGUCGGUGGCCUUCAAGUUCUAAGAGAUGGGGUGUGGUGGGAUGUACCGAUCGUACCUCGCACCCUGCUGGUCAUUAUAGGAGAUCAGACUGAGGUGCACCUUUCCUAA
rnacentral:rRNA from 1 species